GACGAACGCUGGCGGCGUGCUUAACACAUGCAAGUCGAACGGAAAGGCCCUGCUUUUGUGGGGUGCUCGAGUGGCGAACGGGUGAGUAACACGUGAGUAACCUGCCCUUGACUUUGGGAUAACUUCAGGAAACUGGGGCUAAUACCGGAUAGGAGCUCCUGCUGCAUGGUGGGGGUUGGAAAGUGUCGGCGGUUGGGGAUGGACUCGCGGCUUAUCAGCUUGUUGGUGGGGUAGUGGCGUACCAAGGCUUUGACGGGUAGCCGGCCUGAGAGGGUGACCGGCCACAUUGGGACUGAGAGAGGGCCCAGACGCCUACGGGAGGCAGCAGUGGGGAAUAUUGCACAAUGGGCGGAAGCCUGAUGCAGCAACGCCGCGUGCGGGAUGACGGCCUUCGGGUUGUAAACCGCUUUCGCCUGUGACGAAGCGGGAGUGACGGUAAUGGGUAAAGAAGCACCGGCUAACUACGUG
rnacentral:rRNA from 1 species